UACGAAGGGGGCAAGCGUUGUUCGGAAUUACUGGGCGUAAAGGGCGCGUAGGCGGCUUAUCAAGUCAGGCGUGAAAUUCCCGGGCUCAACCUGGGGGCUGCGCUUGAUACUGAUUGGCUUGAAUGCGGGAGAGGAUAGUGGAAUUCCCAGUGUAGAGGUGAAAUUCGUAGAUAUUGGGAAGAACACCGGUGGCGAAGGCGGCUCACUGGCCCGAUACUGACGCUGAGGUGCGAAAGCGUGGGGAGCAAACAGG
rnacentral:rRNA from 1 species